CUUAUUUUAAUUUCAGUAUCUGCACCCCCCCGUAACUCUCCUCUGAGGCCUUUCCACAGUAACCCCAGCCUCGGAAUUCUCACACACUGCUGCCGGGCUCAGCUUCUGGCCAGCAAGUUGUCCUGCCAACCACCUGGAGGCUGAGCCAGCUGAUAAAUAGUGGGUGAGAGGUCAGUCGCAUGCUACAGGAUUAGAACUAGGAUCGGUAAACGCUAGCCCUGUCCCUGGUGUUAACUUUCCUCUGCCUUGAAGGCUUGCCAUAGUGAUCUGGUGAGUGUAACAGCCACCCUUCGUUUGGAGUAAAUGUAGGACAAAAUUAAACUGCAGGGUGGAACCAGAAAGCUGAAACAAUAGCAGCCUCCUGUCAAAACACAGAUGCAGGUCAUCACCCAAAACAGAAGUACAUGCAAGGCACAUAGGGGAGGAGGGGUGUCACUGGAUAUUGUUUGGUGGAGGUACCUGUGUCUGUGGGAAAGAAAGAAUCAGGAAAAACACCAGAGAAGUAGAAAGACCAGGAGCAGAAAGCCAAGGAAUCAGAACAUCCACUGGGAUCAUGGCCCUGAGAAUAAGGUUAGAGAGCUUUUUGCACUGAGUACUGGCUGAAAGAAGUUUAGAAUUGUGAGCAAAUAAAUUAUUUCCUGUUUGAUUCCUGUGGUGCUCAGGGAAACAGGACUUUGUACACUCUUCAUAAAUAGGAUUGCACCUGGCCAAAGAAAUAUCUGAUUCCAACAUCAGUUUCUACUCCUAAUCAAAACAACCCACUGGGCUCCAAAAAUUGGCUAACCACUUGGGUCAAAAGGGGAAAACAGAGGAAUAUACGUCAAUAUUUUUUACUCUUUGUGUAAAUAGCCACUAUCCUCACUUGGCCAUUGAGCUAAUCAUUAUUAGUGGGCUAAUUUCUUGUGGACAUCACAGUAUAAGUGGGUCUUGGAAUGGAUUUGAAGGAAGAUUACCACACUUUUCAUAUCAUAAUCAUCUCAUUCUUACCUUCCCACAACUUUUGUUGUAGCCACCUGUUCUCUCUCAUCUUAUAUUUAUGGCUUGUCUACACUACCAAACUUUGUCAACAAAAACUGCCUUUCGUCAACCAAACAGUGAAUGCGUACACACUGCAAUGUGACUUUUGUUGGGGAAAAUGUCCGGUUUUGGUGACAAAAUACAACCACCCCAACGAGAGACAUACGUCUUUUUCCUCUAAAUUUUUCUCAACAAUGUGCCAGUGUAGACACCAUGCUUGAGUUCAUCACUUUAAUUGGCCUCCAGUACGUGUUCCACAAGGCCCAUGCUGACCGCUCUAGUCAGCAGUUUGAACUCCACUGUCCUGCAGCCAGGUAAACAACCAUCCACCCCUCCCCCUUAGAAGUCCUGGAAAUUUUUGAAAUUCCAUUUCCUUCUGGCUCUGCAUGGAGAGGUCUUAUCGCAUCUUCCCAGGUAACCAUGGCGGGUUAUCACACCAAGUGCUCUCCCACUUGGACCAUUGUUGAGCUGUUGGAUCUGAUCAGUAUAUGGGGAGAAGAGGCUGUGUAGUCACAGCUGCAUUUGAGCCAAAAGAAUAGGGAUACCUAUGGGCACAUUUCUCAAAGCUUGUGUGAAAAGGGCUAUGAUCGGGACACGCUGCAGUGCAGAGCGAAGAUAAAGGAGCUGAGAUAGGCGUACCAUAAGGCGAGGGAAGCAAACCGUCAAUCCGAUGCUUCACCUAAAACCUGCCAGUUCUAUAAGGAGCUGGACACUAUCCUCAGUGGCGACCCCACCUCCACUGCCAAGAGCCCAGUGGAUACUUCAGCGGACCAGGAGGUAGUGGAAAGAGGACCUAAUCCGGAGGACAAAGUUAUUGAGGAAGAGGUGGCAUUAGAUGACAAUGUGCAGCUCCCUGUGGGGUCACCCGGUGCGGCAGGCAGCCAGGAGCUGUUCUCCACUCCAGAGGUGUCUAGCCAGUCUCAGCAGUUGUCUCAGAUGUGGCCUUCAGGAACACCCCAGGCACCCCAGCUGAGCAUCUGAGCCAGAUAAGAAAGUACCCACAAUGCAGCAAAGAAGACAUGUUCUGGGAGGUACUGCAGUGCUCCAAUGCAGAAAAAAGGGAACGCAAGGAGUGCUGGGUAGCCAAAUGGCAGGACAUAAAAGAGAAUCAGGAGUUUAAGGAUGCAACUGAGCGGAUGAUUAAAGUAAUGGAGGAGCAAACACAGAUGCUAAAGUCCUUAAGAAUGCUGCAGACUGAGCAGAUCCGUGCUCGCCCUCCCCUGCAGCACAUUCAGAACUCUUUCCCAUGCCCCCCCCCAAUUCUGUCCGCACAUUCCUUUUGCACCGGGACUUCUCGGUUUCCCAUUCACUCUACCCCCUCAGACAACUUACACAAUGAUAGAUGGAUCUACACAUAUCUGUGAAUGUCUGUCCUUCCUUGGUUCCUCCUUUCCCACCAACUGUCUUUGUCUGUUUGUGUGUGCUAUUUACUGUGCAAUAAAAGCAAAGUUUUCAAAUGGUAA